UACGUAGGCAGCAAGCGUUGUUCGGAAUUACUGGGCGUAAAGAGUGUGUAGGCGGUGUUCUAAGUUUGUCGUGAAAUCUCCCGGCUUAACUGGGAGGGUGCGGCGAAAACUGGAAUGCUAGAGGAUGGGAGAGGUAAGCGGAAUUCCUGGUGUAGCGGUGAAAUGCGUAGAUAUCAGGAAGAACACCCGUGGCGAAGGCGGCUCUCUGGGACGUGACUGACGCUGAGACGCGAAAGCGUGGGGAGCGAACAGG
rnacentral:rRNA from 1 species